rnacentral:rRNA from 1 species
CCCUUAGAUGUUCUGGGCCGCACGCGCGCUACACUGACGAAUGCAACGAGCUUAUAACCUUGGCCGAAAGGUCUGGGUAAUCUCCAAAUUUCGUCGUGAUGGGGAUAGAUUAUUGCAAUUAUUAAUCUUCAACGAGGAAUGCCUAGUAAGCGCAAGUCAUCAGCUUGCGUUGAUUACGUCCCUGCCCUUUGUACACACCGCCCGUCGCUCCUACCGAUCGAAUGGUCCGGUGAAAAUUUCGGAUAGUGACGAUGCUGGCGGUUCGCCGCCGGCGCUGUCGCUAGAAGAUCUUUAAACCUUAUCAUUUAGAGGAAGGAGAAGUCGUAACA